GUCAUGAGGGGUGGCAUAUCAGUAAUUAACUUUGGAUAUGUAAAGUUUGAAAAAGCUUUUGGAUACACUAAGGAAAGAUAUCAAGAUAAUUGUGAAGAUCAGCCAAAAAGAUGAGUAAAUGAUAUAAAGUUGACAAACUGUAAGACAAUUGAAAUACCAUAAAAAACACCAGGCUGGUCUGGCUAGAAGAAGAAAUCUUGUAUUCAGACUGAACAAAACCCUAGGAUCCCAGGACAAGCAGGUGCUCAGUGGGAGAUACAGGACCUUCUUGGGCAUCAAGAGAUUUAAUCUUUGAUCUGUUCAAAGUUUGACCCGUCUGGGCCUCUGUUUCCUCAUUUAUAAUAAUGAAGAAAACUGGAUGAUUUCUGAGGCCCCAUUCUACGUUUCUACAAUGGCUUGUGUUAUUUUAAAGGCACAGAGUGAAGAAAUUACGAGUCAUACAGCUGAAGUAUGCACAGAAAAGAUUUCAACCUCAAAUAAAAUCUGGAACUGAAGUUUCACUCCCCUCAUGGAACAAAUGUAUCAAGACUUGGUCAGAACUGAAGGCCAGAACACUUUCAAAAGUGAAGGGGUACAAGCUCAGGAAUGUUAGGUGUUAAGAUCCCUUACCAUACUUUACCAUAUAUGGUCUUGUUUAAAGUUCUUCCAAUCAAGACCUACCCACCAGCACUUCUGCAUACCAGCCUGCUCUCUCUAACCCAGAAAACUUGCCCCAGACUCCAGAAUGGGGAGAUGGAAUUGAGCUUUGUCUCCUGCCUCC
rnacentral:lncRNA from 1 species